rnacentral:rRNA from 1 species
AUAUAUGAGAGGUCCAGCCUGCCCAGUGACUAAAUUCAACGGCCGCGGUAUCCUAACCGUGCGAAGGUAGCGUAAUCACUUGUUUUUUAAAUGAAGACUAGUAUGAAUGGCACCACGAGGGUUAUACUGUCUCCUUUUUUUAAUCAAUGAAACUGAUCUCCCCGUGAAGAAGCGGGGAUAUUUAUAUAAGACGAGAAGACCCUAUGGAGCUUUAAACAAUUAUAGCACUGGCCCACACUUCUUAUUCUCCUGAGACAUAAUUAUUAUAUAGACCAACAUGACUAUUAGUUUUAGGUUGGGGUGACCACGGAGCAAAAAAUAACCUCCAUGUUGAACGGAGCUACUCCUGAGCUAAAAACUACAACUUUAAGCACCAAUAAACUGACAUCAAUUGACCCAACAUGUUGACCAACGAACCAAGUUACCCUAGGGAUAACAGCGCAAUCCAUUUCAAGAGCUCCUAUCGACAAAUGGGUUUACGACCUCGAUGUUGGAUCAGGGUAUCCCAGUGGUGCAGCCGCUACUAAAGGUUCGUUUGUUCAACGAUUAAAACCCU